AUGACUGAUGAUGACCCUGAGACAACGGGAGAGAGAACAAGAACCCCAAGAAGAGGAGCGUUUGAUGGAAGAAAAGAAAAAGAAAAAGCAGGAAGAAAAGAAGAAGAAAGAAAGUGCUCAGAAAAAGGUCUGCUGCCCCACUGCGCGCUCACCCUGCCCCACUGCGCUCACCCUGCCCCACUGUGCACGCACUCACCCUGCCCCACUGUACACUCACCCUGCCCCACUGUGUGCUCACCCUGCCCCACUGUGCACUCACCCUGCCCCACUGUGCUCACCUGCCCCACUGUGCGCUCACCCUGCCUCACUGUGCUCACCCUGCCCUUGCUCGCUGCACGGGGAAUCGCUCACCCUGCCCCACUACGCGCUCACCUUGCCCCACUGUGCACUUACCCUGCCCCACUGUGCACUCACCCUGCCCCACUGCGCUCACCCUGCCCCACUACACGCUCACCCUGCCCCACUGUGCGCUCACCCUGCCUCAGUGUGUGCUCACCCUGCCCCACUGCGCUCACCCUGCCCCACUGUGCUCACCCUGCCCCACUAUGUGCUCACCCUGCCUCACUGUGCUCACCCUGCCCCACUGUGCUCACCCUGCCCCACUACGCGCUCACUCUGCCCCACUGUGCACGCGCUCACCCUGCCCCACUGCGCUCACCCUGCCCCACUACGCGCUCACCCUGCCCCACUGUGCGCUCACCCUGCCUCAGUGCGUGCUCACCCUGCCCUCGCUCGCUCCACGGCGGAAUCGCUGUUCUGUCGCUUCUUAACAUCCGUGUGCUGAACCUGCGACCAGUAAAUACGGGCUUUGUGCUGUGGAGUAAAUGA
rnacentral:lncRNA from 1 species